GUGGCUAUGGUGUAGUGGCAGCACACUGGACUGUGGCUCCUUUAGCACGGGUUCGAAUCCCGUUAGCCACC
rnacentral:tRNA from 2 species